CGGCGGCGCGGCGGCGGCCGCUGGUGGCGGUGGUGCGCGCGUCGUACGAGGCCGGGGUCGGGGUGAUGGCGACCAAGGUCGGGAUGAUGACCUACUUCGACCCGGCCACCGGCAAGCCGGUGCCGGUGACCGUCGUGGGGUUCCGGGAGGGCGGCAACGUGGUGACGCAGGUGAAGACGGCGGCCACCGACGGGUACGACGCCGUGCAGGUGGGGUACCACGGCGUCCGCGAGGAGAAGCUCACCCGCCCGGAGCUCGGCCACCUCGGCAAGGCCGGCGCGCCGCCGCUCCGCCACCUGCAGGAGUUCCGCCUCCAGUCCGUCGACGGGUACGACCCCGGCCAGCCGCUCGACUUCGCCGACAUGUUCAAGGAGGGCGACCUCGUCGACAUCUCCGGCAAGUCCAUCGGCGAGG
rnacentral:misc_RNA from 1 species